rnacentral:rRNA from 1 species
UGCGGAGGGGGCUAGCGUUGUUCGGAAUGACUGGGCGUAAAGCGCGCGUAGGCGGAUCAGAAAGUUGGGGGUGAAAUCCCGGGGCUCAACCUCGGAAUGGCCUUCAAAACUCCUGGUCUUGAGUUCGAGAGAGGUGAGUGGAAUUCCGAGUGUAGAGGUGAAAUUCGUAGAUAUUCGGAGGAACACCAGUGGCGAAGGCGGCUCACUGGCUCGACACUGACGCUGAGGUGCGAAAGCGUGGGGAGCAAACAGG